rnacentral:rRNA from 1 species
UACAGAGGGGGCAAGCGUUAUUCGGAAUUAUUGGGCGUAAAGGGCGCGUAGGCGGCUUUGCAAGUGGCGGGUGAAAUCCCUCGGCUUAACCGAGGAACUGCCUGCCAGACUGUGAGGCUUGAGACCGGGAGAGGUGAGUGGAAUUCCCAGUGUAGCGGUGAAAUGCGUAGAUAUUGGGAGGAACACCGGUGGCGAAGGCGGGUCUCUGGGCCGUAACUGACGCUGAGGAGCGAAAGCGUGGGGAGCGAACAGG